rnacentral:rRNA from 1 species
AUAGAUCUUGAAUACUGUGGAGGUAAGCGGAAUAUGUCAUGUAGCGGUGAAAUGCUUAGAUAUGACAUAGAACACCCAUUGCGAAGGCAGCUUACUACGCAUAUAUUGACGCUGAGGCACGAAAGCGUGGGGAUCAAACAGGAUUAGAUACCCUGGUAGUCCACGCCCUAAACUAUGGAUACUCGACAUAUGCGAUACACUGUAUGUGUCUGAGCGAAAGCAUUAAGUAUCCCACCUGGGAAGUACGUUCGCAAGAAUGAAACUCAAAGGAAUUGGCGGGGGUCCGCACAAGCGGUGGAGUAUGUGGUUUAAUUCGAUGAUACGCGAGGAACCUUACCUGGGCUAGAAUGCUGGGAGAUCGCUAGUGAAAGCUAGUUUUGUAGCAAUACACUGCCAGUAAGGUGCUGCAUGGCCGUCGUCAGCUCGUGCCGUGAGGUGUUGGGUUAAGUCCCGCAACGAGCGCAACCCCUAUCUUUAGUUGCCAACAGGUAAUGCUGGGAACUCUAAAGAAACUGCCGCCGUAAGGUGUGAGGAAGGAGGGGAUGAUGUCAGGUCAUCAUGGCCUUUAUGCCCAGGGCUACACACGUACUACAAUGGCUGGUACAGAGGGUUGCCAACCCGCGAGGGGGAGCUAAUCCCAUAAAGCCAGUC